UACAGAGGUGGCAAGCGUUGUUCGGAAUUACUGGGCGUAAAGGGCGCGUAGGCGGGCUGUCAAGUCUGGGGUGAAAUCCCGCGGCUCAACCGUGGAACUGCCUCAGAUACUGACGGCCUCGAGGGAGAUAGGGGCGAGCGGAACUAAUGGUGGAGCGGUGAAAUGCGUUGAUAUCAUUAGGAACUCCGGUGGCGAAGGCGGCUCGCUGGAUCUUUUCUGACGCUGAGGCGCGAAAGCUAGGGGGAGCAAACGGG
rnacentral:rRNA from 1 species